UGCAGUCCAGGCCACCCUUGAGGUGACCGGCAGACUGCUCAGUAACACNNCNUNNACCUGCCCUAUUGUCUGGGAUAACCUCGGGAAACUGAGGNUAAAACCGGAUAGAGGACUAUGCCUGGAAUGGCUUGUCCUUCAAAGGUCACGCAGUAGGAUGGGACGGCGGCCGAUUAGGUUGUUGGCGGGGUAAAGGCCCACCAAGCCGAUGAUCGGUACGGGUCGUGAGAGCGAGAGCCCGGAGAAGGGUACUGAGAUACGGACCCUAGCCCUACGGGGUGCAGCAGGCGCGAAACCUCAGCAAUGCACGAAAGUGUGACUGGGGGACUCCGAGUGCUCAUGUAACGCAUGGGCUUUUGUUAGCGGUAAGGUCGCUAGCGAAUAAGUGGGGGGUAAUACUGGUGCCAGCCGCCGCGGUAACACCAGAGCCACGAGUGGGGACCGCUCUUAUUGGGCCUAAAGCGNUCGUAGCCGGUCCGGUAAAUCUUCUGUGAAAUCGCAACGCUUAACGUUGUGNCGUGCAGAAGAGACUGCCGGACUUGGGANCGGGAGGCGUAUGAGGUAUUCUGGGGGUAGCGGUAAAAUGCGAUCAUCCUCAGAGGACCACCUGUGGCGAANGCGUCAUACGAGAACGGAUCCNACGGUGAGGGACGAAAGCUAGGGGAGCAAACCGGAUUAGAUACCCGAGUAGUCCNAGCAGUAAACGCUGCGAGCAAGGNGUUG
rnacentral:rRNA from 1 species